UACGAAGGGUGCAAACGUUAUUCGGAAUCACUGGGCGUAAAGGUUGCGUAGACGGUAUGUUAAGUUCGUUGUUAAAGGCUCCGGCCCAACCGGAGUAUUGCGAUGAAAACUGGCACACUAGAGGGUGAGAGAGAGAAGUGGAAUUCCCGGAGUAGCGGUAAAAUGCGUGGAUCUCGGGAGGAACACCAAUGGCGAAGGCAGCUUCUUGGCUCAUACCUGACGUUGAGGCACGAAAGCGUGGGGAGCAAACAGG
rnacentral:rRNA from 1 species